AACGAGCCCGUGGCCACAGUUGGGUUCAAUUUGAUCUCGGAUCACAGGUCCUGCUCAGAAAAGUGAUCGUGCAAUUGCGGCCACGCGAGCUUGCUUUGGGACUCGCGUUGGGGCCGAAUGGGCCCGCCCCGUCAACCGGGGUCCCCCCCGUAUCCGAUGGGCCGUGAGCACGCUACGCGACAGCCGAAGACAGAUGUGGCCGCCGCCGCCGCCAGCCAAGCCAAGCCAGCUAUAACCACGCGGAAGCGAUCGACGCGCGCGGUCGUGUCACCGAUCCGCAGUUUUAUGGAUCACUGUCGCGUCGAUCGCGCGCGGCAGGCGACCUGAAGGAGGGAGAGCGGUUUCGCGCGGUUUCGUAAAAGGAAGGAAAAAAGAGAAGGGAAAGGAAAGUAGAAACGACCUGGGUGGCAAUCUAGAGAGCACAAGACUGUGCGGUAUCCCGGUUCACACAACUUCGAUCUGUCUCUAAUAACAAAUAAUUGUUGAUUUUAUACGGGUAUCAGAAAUCACGCAAUAAUAACCAACAAAUACUGCUUGCAGUCAAGUGUGCUUUUGUUAUCUGCAGACAGCACUUUAUUGCUGGCACUGAGUGGAGUGGAAGCUGCAGGGGCACCGACAGCAAAUUAAUGUGAGGCUGUAUGCACAAUAUCACCAAAGGCUCUAAAUAUUCCUAGUAAAAAUUAGUACCAAGUCAAAACUAUUAACCAGACUUGCUAGAGCUGUGAAGGUCUAAUUAUUUACUUGAGGCAAACAACCAACCAAAACCACUAUUCUGCAACGGUAUUUUUAAAAACCUGGGGAGCCAGACUGCCAUUUCAUAUCCGUCAAAUGUGCCCUCAAAUUUGAAUUAAGGGAAGCUGGUGCCAUUCAACAGCACUGGAUUCACACCAAAGUGGUCGAACAACUGCCACUCAUACAUGGCACUUCGUGAACGAAAGGAAAUCCCUGGACUAGCAAGACCAUUCCUUGGCACGAAAACUGUCCGAACAAGUUCGAACUGCUGUGCAUUCCGAGCUCCGAAGUUCAACUAAUACUGGAAAAGCUUACCAACCCUGAAAAAGUUGUUGGGCCAUCAUGCAGGCAAAAAGUGCAUUUCAUCUUACUAGAAAACAGGCAAACUAACUUGACCCAAGGACAAUCCCCGUGGUAGCUAUAGAGGGAAUUUCCUUUGAGCAGCAAAUAUGGAAGUUGAUUACAGUGAUUACACAAGCAGAUAAGAGUAAUCGCUGGCCAAACUCAAGUCUCCAAGCUGAGCUAGUUCAAGGCAGGUCAGUCGAAGUGCACCAAACCACCGGGCUAUGCAUGCAACUAGUCUUGAAUGAAUUCAACUGUUUAUGUACCCCACAAUAUAUACUGAAAUAGCUCAAACUGCAACACGUAACACCAGCCAAAACCUAAUGGACAAAUCCACCAAGAAAAAAAUGUAGAUCCAUUACACAUGCAAGCACCCGCUAAAAGAAGGUGCCCUGUGGACGAGCCAGUCUCUCACUAAUGGCAUAUGCUUUGGAAGAAAUAGCAGCAAGGAUGGAAUACACUAAGCAUUCUUAUUUAAACACCGACGCAUUGUGCAGAAUGUUUUUGCUGUGCAGAGGUGGAAGCACGGCUGAAAGUAAGACUACUUCACAUUUUUAUC